AGAGUUUGAUCCUGGCUCAGGAUGAACGCUGGCGGCGUGCUUAACACAUGCAAGUCGAACGAACCUUCGGGUUAGUGGCGGACGGGUGAGUAACGCGUGAGAAUCUGCCCUCAGGAGGGGGAUAACAGUUGGAAACGACUGCUAAUACCCCAUAUGCCGAGAGGUGAAAUGAAUUUCGCCUGGGGAUGAGCUCGCGUCUGAUUAGCUUGUCGGUGGGGUAAUAGCCUACCAAGGCUUCGAUCAGUAGCUGGUCUGAGAGGACGAUCAGCCACACUGGGACUGAGACACGGCCCAGACUCCUACGGGAGGCAGCAGUGGGGAAUUUUCCGCAAUGGGCGAAAGCCUGACGGAGCAACGCCGCGUGAGGGAUGGAGGCCUUUGGGCUGUAAACCUCUUUUCUCAAGGAAGAAGAUCUGACGGUACUUGAGGAAUAAGCCACGGCUAAUUCCGUGCCAGCAGCCGCGGUAAUACGGGAGUGGCAAGCGUUAUCCGGAAUUAUUGGGCGUAAAGCGUCCGCAGGCGGCCGUUUAAGUCUGUUGUUAAAUCGUGGAGCUCAACUCCAUCACGGCAAUGGAAACUGUUCGGCUUGAGUAUGGUAGGGGCAGAGGGAAUUUCCGGUGUAGCGGUGAAAUGCGUAGAUAUCGGGAAGAACACCAGUGGCGAAAGCGCUCUGCUGGGCCAUUACUGACGCUCAUGGACGAAAGCCAGGGGAGCGAAAGGGAUUAGAUACCCCUGUAGUCCUGGCCGUAAACGAUGAACACUAGAUGUUGGGGGAAUCGACCCCCUCGGUGUCGUAGCUAACGCGUUAAGUGUUCCGCCUGGGGAGUACGCACGCAAGUGUGAAACUCAAAGGAAUUGACGGGGGCCCGCACAAGCGGUGGAGUAUGUGGUUUAAUUCGAUGCAACGCGAAGAACCUUACCAAGGCUUGACAUCCUGCGAAUCUCUAAGAAAUUAGAGAGUGCCUUCGGGAACGCAGUGACAGGUGGUGCAUGGCUGUCGUCAGCUCGUGUCGUGAGAUGUUGGGUUAAGUCCCGCAACGAGCGCAACCCACGUUUUUAGUUGCCAGCAUUCAGUUGGGCACUCUAGAAAGACUGCCGGUGACAAACCGGAGGAAGGUGUGGACGACGUCAAGUCAUCAUGCCCCUUACGCCUUGGGCUACACACGUACUACAAUGCUGCGGACAAAGAGUAGCGAUCUUGCGAAAGUUAGCUAAUCUCAUAAACCGUGGCUCAGUUCAGAUCGUAGGCUGCAACUCGCCUACGUGAAGGAGGAAUCGCUAGUAAUCGCAGGUCAGCAUACUGCGGUGAAUACGUUCCCGGGCCUUGUACACACCGCCCGUCACACCAUGGAAGUUGGCCAUGCUCGAAGUCGUUACUCUAACCUUUUGGAAGAGGGCGCCGAAGGCAGGGCUAAUGACUGGGGUGAAGUCGUAACAAGGUAACC
rnacentral:rRNA from 1 species